AUUGAACGCUGGCGGCAUGCCUUACACAUGCAAGUCGAACGGCAGCACGGGAGCAAUCCUGGUGGCGAGUGGCGAACGGGUGAGUAAUAUAUCGGAACGUGCCCGGUCGUGGGGAUAACGUAGCGAAAGCUACGCUAAUACCGCAUACGAUCUACGGAUGAAAGCGGGGGAUCGCAAGACCUCGCGCGAUUGGAGCGGCCGAUAUCAGAUUAGGUAGUUGGUGAGGUAAAGGCUCACCAAGCCGACGAUCUGUAGCUGGUCUGAGAGGACGACCAGCCACACUGGGACUGAGACACGGCCCAGACUCCUACGGGAGGCAGCAGUGGGGAAUUUUGGACAAUGGGCGCAAGCCUGAUCCAGCAAUGGCCGCGUGCAGGAUGAAGGCCUCGGUU
rnacentral:rRNA from 1 species